CAGAUGAUGUAAAUCACAAUACUUAAUAAACUAAAGAAAGUGAUUCUUAGUUAUAUGAACUAAACACCAUCAUACUGAAUAAUAUAAUUUAUGUAUUAUUAUCCAUAAAUUAAUAAAUUUAAUAUUACUAACAUUAUCAACAUAAUUUAAAUAGCUGAAAAUGAGUUAUUAUUGGGUUCACCAACCAAUAAGAAUUAGUUAGUUUAUUAUAUUCAGUAUCUUUUAAAAAAGAAAACAAAAAAUUGUCAAUUCAUAUCAUAAUUUUAAAAUAAAUGAAACUAAAAAUAAAUAAAAGUAGUACUAGUUGCAAAAAAAAAAGUUUUUUUAAAAAUAUUUUUAACACCGUCAGCAUAACACUAAACCCUAAAUCCUAAACCCUUGGGUAAACCCUAUACCCUAGGAUAAAUCAUAAACUCUUGGAAAAAUUCUAAACCCUAAAUCAAAAACAUUAAAAACUAAAUCUUAAAAAGACUAAACCCAAGAGUUUGAAGAUUAGGAUUAAUGGUUUAGUGUUUUAACAUUUAGUGUUGAUUGUUUUUGAUUUAGGGUUUAUGGUUUAUCCAAUGGUUUAUGGUUUACCCAAAGGUUUAGGAUUUAGUGAUUUGCUAACAGAUUUAAAAAUAUUUUUUUAAUUCUUUUUUUGCAGCUAGUACUAUUUUUUAUUUAUUUUUAUUUAUUUUAAAAUAUGAUAUAAAUUAAUAAUAUUUUGUUUCCUUUUUUAAAAGAUACUGAUUAUAAAAUAACUAAUUUUUAUUGAUUGGUGAACCUAUAGGUUCACCCUAGGGGUUGAACCCAAGAAUAACUCUUGUUUGAAUAUAUAGUACAGUUUACAUGACUAGAGGAACACCAAAACAUUUAGCAGGAAAACAUAUAUAGUACAGUUUACAAAUAUUAUUUUUAUUCAAAAUUGGUGUAAAACCCUAACUGAACUAUAAAUUCUAAUUUUUAAACAUUCUGUCAUUUUUAUUUUAAAAUUAAAUUUCUAUAAUCUAUAAUUUGUUCUAUGUGUCCUCUUAUCCCUUUUCUUCUUCAAUAUAUA
rnacentral:lncRNA from 1 species